rnacentral:rRNA from 1 species
AAUUGGAUUCAACGCCGGGAAACUGGCGAUAAUCCCCGAUAGGUGAGGGAUGCUGGGAUGCUUCUUCGCUCAAAGCUCCGGCGCCCGAGGAUGGGACUGCGGCCUAUCAGGCUGUUGGUGGUGUGACGGACCACCAAACCUACGACGGGUACGGGCGAUGGGAGUCGGAGCCUGGAGAUGGGGACUGAGACAAGGCCCCAGGCCCUACGGGGCGCAGCAGGCGCGAAAACUCCGCAAUGCGCGCAAGCGUGACGGGGGAACCCCAAGUGCCGUUGGCUUUUGAUCGACGGCUUUUCGGAAGUCCAAUAAGCUUCCGGAAUAAGGGCUGGGUAAGACUGGUGCCAGCCGCCGCGGUAACACCAGCAGCCCAAGUGGUGGCCGCGAUAUUGGGCCUAAAGCGCUCGUAGCCGGAUCAGCAAGUCCUUUGUGAAAUCGGACCGCCCAACGGUUCGGCGUGCAGAGGAUACUGUUGGUCUUGAGACCGGGAGAGGUCGGAGGUACUCUUGGGGUAGCGGUGAGAUGCUGUAAUCCUGGGGGGACCACCAGUGGCGAAGGCGUCCGACCAGAACGGAUCUGACGGUGAGGGGCGAAGGCUAGGGGAGCGAACGGGAUUAGAUACCCCGGUAGUCCUAGCUGUAAAGCAUGCGGGCCUGGUGUCUAGCGCUCCUUGAGGGCGCUAUGUGCCGGAGGGAAGCCGUUAAGCCCGCCGCCGGGGAAGUACGGCCGCAAGGCUGAAACUUAAAGAAAUUGGCGGGGGAGCACCACAAGGGGUGGAACCUGCGGUUCA